UACGGAGGAUCCAAGCGUUAUCCGGAUUCACUGGGUUUAAAGGGUGUGUAGGCGGAACAUUAAGUCAGUGGUGAAAUCUCUCAGCUUAACUGAGAAACUGCCAUUGAAACUGAUGUUCUUGAGUACAGUUGAGGUAGGCGGAAUGUGUAGUGUAGCGGUGAAAUGCUUAGAUAUUACACAGAACACCGAUUGCGAAGGCAGCUUGCUAAGCUGUAACUGACGCUGAGACACGAAAGCGUGGGGAUCAAACAGG
rnacentral:rRNA from 1 species